rnacentral:rRNA from 1 species
UACGUAGGGUGCAAGCGUUGCCCGGAUUUAUUGGGCGUAAAGGGCGCGUAGGCGGCUCUGCACGUCCGUUGUGAAAUCGCCCGGCUCAACUGGGCGGGGUCAGCGGAUACGGCAGAGCUUGAGCAAGCUAGGGGGCAAUGGAAUUCCCGGUGUAGUGGUGAAAUGCGUAGAGAUCGGCAGGAACACCCAGGGGGAAACCAGCCGACUGGGCAUCUGCUGACGCUGAUGUGCGAGAGCGUGGGGAGCGAACCGG